UGCUUCAACUAUUUCAUCCCCUUUUGCUCCCUGCUUUCGCAUCUCGUCAAUAUCUUCACUAGUGAGACUCUGAGCAGUAUUAUUAUCAACAAGCGCACGGUUGUCUUUAGAUCCAUCCACGUCUUUUUCUUCAAGGCCGUUACCUUCUGCAUUCUCAACAAAACGAGUCAAAAAGGUUCCUUCUUUUCCCGACUCCACUUGAAACAGAGACCCGAAUGGACAACCUAUAAGAGGCUGAAGAGAACACUUCUUAUUCCCAAUUUUCAAUGUCGAGGCAGCAGUAAGACGAGAAAAA
rnacentral:misc_RNA from 1 species